rnacentral:misc_RNA from 1 species
GGUGGGAGGAGGAAGAGAGUGAGUGGGACCCGUGCGGGGGGAAUUGGAGGAGAGAGAAAUGAAGUCUUGAAUAUUAAGACAGUGAGAGUAAAAGCCAGCUAGCAAUGAAGGUGGAGGCUCACCUACCAUAAUAUCCCUCCUCCUUCCACCACUACUCAUACUACUUGUACUGCUGCCACCCCAUUCGCCCUUUCCUUCUUAUAGAGCUCUCUCUCUUUCUCUCUCUUUUCCCUUCACCGCUCGGAGGCAGAAGCUCUAGUUUGCAAGAAGAGCUUCCGAUUACGGAGCUGCGUAGUUUUUAGCCAACGGAUACACUCUCCUCUUCUCGGUUUAUGGAGGAGAUUGGAGCUUUGAUCUUUAACCAAAUUAAGUGCCAGCUACCACCAGGCUAAACCUGCCGUUGUUUAGUUACAUAUUUUGUUUGUACUCUGAUAGAUUUUUCCAAGCUUGAAAAUUUAUGUUGGUUCAUUUAUGUUGGUCUCUAUUUUUUGGUGUGUGCUUUCAGAUCUAGGCAUCGAAGGAAAGCCUUCGUGAAACAGGCACGAUGGCCACAGAGCAGUAUGUAGAAUCAGCAAUAGCUGAAAAUGAUUAUAACAUGGAAGAUAUAUCACCUGUAGAGAUCUGCAAGUCUUCUGACACUGUUGUGGAUUCUGAUGAGAGCCCCUGUAAUGGGUUUGAUUGCAAUAUUUGCCUGGAUUCUGUGCAGGACCCAGUGGUUACACUUUGUGGUCAUCUUUACUGCUGGCCCUGCAUAUACAAAUGGCUUCAUUUCCAGGGUAUCUCUGCUGAAAACGAUGAUCUGCAGAUACAGCAGCAAUGUCCUGUAUGCAAGGCUGAAGUUUCUGAAGACACCUUGGUUCCACUCUUUGGACGAGGCCAAACUACAAAACCCUCUAAAAGGAAAGCCCCUAAUCUGGGAAUAAUCAUUCCUAAAAGACCUUUCGGUCUUGCUUGUGGAUUUGAUUCACCAAGAUCAUCUUUCGCAAGUAGUACUCCACGCCCAAGUCCAUCCCAGCAAAUUCAUCACCGAGGUUAUCUUCAUAAUCAAUCUCAAUUAUACUACUCUCAGCCUGGAACAAGUUACCCUGCUGCUACGUCAAUGCUCAGCCCACAUGUGGCAGCGGCAAACAUGUACGAUCCAAUGAUUGGAAUGUUUGGGGAAAUGAUUUAUGCAUGGGUGUUUGGUAACUCCAUAGCCAAUAUUUACCGCUACCCAAAUUCAUAUAAUCUUGCAGGAAGCACCAGUCCUAGAAUGAGAAGGCACAUUUUGCAGGCUGACAAGUCCCUUAGCAGAAUCUGCUUUUUCCUCUUCUGUUGUGUAUUUUUGUGUUUCCUCUCAUUUUGAUUUGUUGAUAUAUAUAUACCUGUAAAAAUUCACAAGUAUAUUAUAGACACAGAAUCAGCCGGUUGUAUUAGGCACCUUAACUAUUGCAUAUCCUGUGCUGCGCCUCCGAAAUUUGUAAUUACGAAUCUUUUUCUGAGCCGAAUGAUUGACUUUUCACUUGGAGUUGGUUGAAACGAUAAGGGUAAAUUAUAAUUUAG